UAGUGUUAAGCCACUGGUGGACGGAGUGU
rnacentral:piRNA from 1 species